UACGUAGGGCGCAAGCGUUGUCCGGAAUUAUUGGGCGUAAAGAGCUCGUAGGCGGUUUGUUGCGUCGGCUGUGAAAUCCCGAGGCUCAACCUCGGGUCUGCAGUCGAUACGAGCAAACUAGAGUGUUGCAGGGGAGACUGGAAUUCCUGGUGUAGCGGUGAAAUGCGCAGAUAUCAGGAGGAACACCGGUGGCGAAGGCGGGUCUCUGGGCAACAACUGACGCUGAGGAGCGAAAGCGUGAGGAGCGAACAGG
rnacentral:rRNA from 1 species